UAAACCAGCUGUGAUGGACUUCAGAGCUUGAUGGCCUGCCCUAUUUGAGCUUUCCCAGACAACAGCAUUGAGUUCAAAAGAGAGGCUGUGAUCAGAGGCCUUCUCUACCUUGGUGAAAAGGCAUGAGCUAAUCAAGGACUACAAGGGUCCACACCCCCAUGUUGGGAUGCUGGGAAGACCUCCAGAUACUCCUAAGCAAGAUAAGAAAAGAUGGUAAUCACAUGAGGCAUGGAUGUUGAGAGUGGCGUGGGAACUCAUCAAAGGCAGCCAACUAUAGGGUGAUCAAUCCUGAGCCUGUGUCCCAUGCCCAGUCAUGAGUAAAGUAGUGCCUGGUAAGUAGAGGGAUUUGAGCUAGGCAGUAAGGUCCCGACCUGGGAUAAAAAAAACUGCCCCGCCCACAGGGUCAUCGCUCAGCCUCCCAUCUUUAGUGAAGGGGACCAUAGCACCAAGUCUGGCCUGAGGAUGGUGGUUGCAAUCUCUGGGGGAAAGAUUAGUUGCUUGCCAAUAUCAACUAGCAUCUUCUUCCAAUCCUGGGCCAUGGCUGGCUGUCCAGUUUCUGGUUUGGUAGCUUGGUGGUUAGGCUGUUUCUGUCCCUCUGGAACGAAUGUUAGCACAUAUAUAUUCAGGACACUUCAUUAGGGACACCAAAUAUGUCCAUCUACAUGAUAAAAUAUGUUGUUUAUGAUUGUGGUUGUAGAACUAUAGUGCAUCAUAUCGAGAGCUGUUUUGCUCCUGCAGCUAAACAACCAAAAAUAAUUCAAAGAAACACAGUAUAGAGCAAGAGGAGCCACCUGGCGUGUCUCAGCAAGGUGCACUGUAUUUGGGGACACGCUCCGAGCAGCCAGUGUGACUCCACGGAGGUCUCCGGCAAACCUUUUGCACUUUUCAAACACCAUGGCACAAUAAGCCCCAGGCGUCAUAGCUUUGCUUCCGUUUCAUGUGGCUAAGUUUGUGUGUGUUCAAUUGGGGUUUUUCCCCCUCAUUGCAGAGCAUUUGGAACAACUAGCAGUGUACUGUAAUUAAUUACAGUAUUUAUUUAAUUUACUGACUAUAUAGAUGUUUUAUUUUUCAUUAUUACAUAUAAUAUUUUAUUUUUAAAAAUACUAUACAGUUACAAAGCCCAUAGUUUUUGCAUGUUUGUCGAGAGCGGCAACCCUAACCCAAACCCGUCCUUGAACACACCUUAGUUAUCUGUGCGUGUCCGCGUGUGUGUGUGUGUGUGUGUGUGUGUGUGUGCGCGCGCACUAACUUUGGCCCACGCGGCACAGAGACUACUAUACUGUAUUUGUACCCUUUUUCUUCCACCUCAUAUUUGGUCCCAAAUGUUGAUACUAUGUGGGAAUGCAUAAAGGUACGUUUUGUAGACAUUAUUGAGUGCUAAUGUGCGUAUUUGUUUGGUGCAUAACCUCAAAUUAAUCUAUGCUAGCACACUGCCUUUUCCCACACACAUCAAACAGGGAUUUAAUAAUCUUCUGCUGGAGAUUAGUGGGAACAUGAGCUGGUCCGUGGGUCAAAAAAAGGUUGGGGACAAUUGUGAUACACCAUGAACAUUUUCGUCCCGUCCCGUCUCGUCUCGUCAACAAAAACUCGCACAACUCAACACCUUUUAGUCAUCAAACAACAAUGUUUAGCUAGUCACCGUCUUGUUUUCGUCAUAAAAAAAAAAAAGUUAGUCAACAAAAUAAUUUUGCCAUCGUCAUUAACAAAACCACUGUUUGGGUGUUGUUUGCCAACAAGUCUCCAUUUCCAUAAUGUGAGCUGUGUAUUAACCAAACUAGAGCAACAUUGUCAUUGUUAUUAACAUUGUUACGCCCAAGAACUACGUUACUGGCAUAGUGACACCUCGCCACACCACACCGCCAACUACUAGCCGGCUAGCGACUAGCUUCACCACACACUCGCUCACAAGGCCUCAGGCCACUAGCCAAAGGUAACGCUACAUAUUGGAGCUGCCACCACUGCUGCUGUGUUUUUGUUUUUGACACUAGGUGUAGCGUUCCUUUCUAUGUUGCUAUGUGAAAUCAAUGCACCCAGAAAGGAAGUUCCCAAAAUACUGCAAGUAUUACAUGUUAUUAAUGUACCUGUUACUACAUGCUCACAGCAUGGAUAAGAAAACCAUAACACCUUGUUGGAGCUUUUUGGAGGUGUUUUCAUAGGAAGAAUAGGUGUGUCCCAUUACGUGCAUUAAUUAGCUGCUUCUUUUUAGCUGACUUUAGAAUGCACAGAAAAGAAAGAGAUGUGUUUUCAUGUCUCGCAUCAGGAUUGCGGAUGAUUGGCAACAUUUUCCUCCCACACUUUUCCUUUUAAAGGCUGUGACGUCUUUCCGUUUUUUGUUACUUGAGCAAAGCAACAGUCUUUGACUGUGGUUGGCGGGAAAACUUUUUCUGGACUGCGUUGAUAUUUUUUACACAUCGACCUUUUUAAAAAUGAUUUAUUAUAGAAAAAAAAAUUAAGCUUUAAGUGUGAUUUUUAACUCUCAUAUGCUUGGAUGCCACACGUCAGUUCUACUUUGGUAACAAAGUAGCGUUCCUCUUUACCCUUGAACAGGACGAUACAACUAUUACGGCUUUGCUGCUGCAAUUUUGCAUCGUCUCUGUUUGAAAGGCGCCGUCCAACCUCUGUUACAGCUAUGGUUCUACCUUCAAAGCCAGAAAAUUGCCAGCUUCUCUUUUGUGUUUUGUGUUGGUGUCUUUCAUACAGAACAGGGAAAAUGGUAAUGGGUUACUUUAUUUCCAUUGAAGUACAUCAAAUGUUGCACAUGUGCACAAUUGAACAUGUCCGAAAAGGAGUUGGAUGGAGCAGAGCUGAUUUCAUGAACGGUCUGUGUGAAAGGGGCUAAUGUGAUGGUUGGCAGUUCUACACCAAUGCAAAAUAUGACUAUAAUAAUGUAGUCAUUUUUUUCCGUGUUUUUUUUGCGUGUACGUUGUGUAGUGUUACAUACCAACAGACGGACACUCUGGCUCUUCAUUGCCACAGUGGUGCUGAUGCAGGGGUUGCCAUGGCGACACCAUGUAGACGUGUUACAUUAAGAGAGACCUUCAUUGAGACCGUCACGUCUUUCUCUUAUUUUGAAGAAAAAGGGUCAAAAGAGCAGAGAUAUCCUGUCAAUAAUAUGAAAAACAAAAGAAUAAAGUUUUAAUUUUUGGAAAAUUAUUUUGCGGGGAAAGCGAAGAGAAUAAAAUCUAAAUAACAUGGGAAUUAAGUCAUUACAAAAAGAAAAUUUACAAGAAGAAAGUUGAAAUAGUUGGGGCGAAAAAAACAUAAGUGGGAAAACACAAUUAUAAGAAUAAAAUACAAAUAUUAAGAGAAUGUAUUCUAAUGAGGGAAAAAAAAUGCAAAUUUAUGAGAAAAUAAUUUCAUUUUAGUAACAGAGUUGAAAUAUUAAAGAAUUUUUUUUUUUUGCCAUAGUUGGAAUAUAGGUAAAUUUGUAAUUUCUGGGAAAUUAGCUUGGGGAUAAAACGAGGAAAAGGCUUCUUGAGACGUCAUCUGUACUUCUGUGAAGAAGGUGUCGGAGGUUUUGCUUCUCAUCCAAAGAGCUUCGUCAGUGAACCGACACCUUCUUCACAGAAGUACAGAUGACGUCUCAAGAAGCCUUUUCCUCGAUGGACAACUCCUGUACGACUGAGAGCCUACACAGACGCUUGGGGAUAAAAGUUACAAUAUUAUGGCAAUAAAGUAAAAAUGUGAUGGGAAUAAAGUUGCAAUAUUAAAAAAAAAAACAAAAUUUAUGAACGUUACUGAAGAAGGACAAAGUUUAAAUAUUUGGAAAAUGUAAAAAAAAAAAAAAAAACAGCAAAAAUUUGAAAAAAAAAGAGGAAAGACAUAAGUUGAUACUAAUAUGCGUUUUCAUCUAUAUGACAAAGCUGGGAUGCAGUUUGUUCUUGAAAUAUCAAUGCUGUUAUGUAUUCCAUGCAAACAUAUGCAUCGUUUAUGUUUCAUAACAAGAAGAUGGUAAUGACUGAGGACAUUUGUUGACAAGCGUUUAUCCUGUCAAUAAGCUCUAUUUAUCCCGUUUUAGAUGUGCUGCACACCUCUUCUGGGACAUGGCUUAAAAAUAGUCCACAUUUGACCGAAUGCUAAGACCAUUAGCAUAUAGUUGACUCUGUGUCUGUCCUGUCCUGUGUCAUUCACACAUUCACUCAUGGAAGGCUGAUUCAUGAACCAACCACUCUGUCAGCUGUGACUGGCUCAUCAUCUUUUUCUUUUUUUUUAUCCCUUCCUAUCUAUAACACUCCAAAUAUAAAGGGGAACAAACAUUGAGGCAAGAAGCUGAGAAAAACACACCUUUUUGUCAUAUUUCAUAUGACAUUUAUUUACUAUUUAUUUGCACAUCAUAAGCAGCGUAAAAAAAAAAAAAGAAAAGAGAAACACAAUUUAUAAACAGUUAAAAUCAUUGUGCAGGAGAGGAUGGAAGCCAAAAGAGGCUUAUGUAAAUACCUCCCCAAACGUACACAGGGAAAAAGAAAGAGAGAAAAUACAUUUAAAUUACAAAUAACUCAAAUAAUAAGCUAAAAUAAAACAUUAAAAAUACAAAUCCAAUUACAAUUCAUCAAAUACAAAUCAAAUCAUAUACAACCUUAUAUUUUUCCGUUAAAGUCCUUUUCAGAUGCUUUUUAAAUAAAGACAAAGAUGUUGAUUGAAGUUCAGGACAUAAAUUAUUCCAAAGAUGAGGUCCACAACAUUUUAGAGAAUACUGACUGACAGAAGUUCCACAAUAAGGAAGAUAAAAUUGACUUGAAUAUCGUGUAGAAUAAUUGUGAAUGACAGAAAACAACAUAAAGAAGUUCUGGAAUAUGAUACCGGAAUUUUUUUUUUAUCAUUAACGGGGGAAAAAAUCCAAAGCUAUAUGGCCCUGUGUGGAAAAAGUGAUUGCCCCCUAAACCUAAUAACUUUGGUUGAGCCACCCUUAGCAGCAACAACUGCAAUCAAGCGUUUGUGAUAACUUGCAAUGAGUCUCUUAUAGCUCUGGAGGAAUUUUGGCCCACUCAUCUUUGCAGAAUUGCUGUCAUUCAGCCACAUUGGAGGCUUUUCCUUUUUAAGGUCAUGCCACAGCAUCUCAGUAGGAUUCAGGUCAGAACUUUGACUAGGUCACUCCAAAGUCUUCAGCCAAUCAGAGGUGGACUCACUGGUGUGUUUUGGAUCAUUGUCCUGCUGCAGAACCCAAGUUCGUUUCAGCUUGAGGUCACCAACAAAAGGCCGGAGAUUCUCCUUCAGCAGAAUUCAUGCUUCCAUUGAUCACAGCAAGCCUUCCAGGUCCUGAAGCAGCAAAACAGCCUCAGACCAUCACACUACCACCACCAUAUUUUACUGUUGCUGUGAUGAUGUUUUCUGAAAUGAAGCAUUGCUUAUACGCCAGAUCUAAUGGAACACACACCGUUCAUCUUUGUCUCAUCAAACAGUAUUUUCCCAAAGGUCUUGGGGAUCAUCAAGAUGUUUUCUGGCAAAACUAAGACAAGCCUUAAUGUUCUUUUUGUUCAGCGGUGGUUGUGGUCUUGGAACUCUGCUAUGCAGGCCGUUAUUGCCCAGCGUCUUUCUUAUGGUGGAGUCAUGAACACUGACCUUAACUGAGGAAAGUGAGGCCUGCACUUCUUUGGAUGUUGUUGUGGGGUCUUUGGUUGUUGCUGUGCUCUUGGGGUCAUUUUGGUUGGCCGGCCACUCGUGGGAAGGUUCACCACUGUUCCAUGUUUUAGCCAUUUGUGGAUACUGGCUCGCACUGUGGUUGGCUGGUGUCCCAAAGCUUUAGAAAUGGCUUUAUAACCGUUUCCACACUGAUAGAUCUCAAUUUAUCCCAGUUAUGUUUUAACAGGGGGCGUCAAUCACAUUUUCACACAGGGCCAUAUAGGUUUGGAUUUUUGAACAAGGGGGAAAAAUUAUAAUAUGGGAAUAAAGUCAAAAUAUUAUGGGAAUAAAGUCAUACUAUUAUGGAAAGAAAACUUACAAAGAUUACUGAAGAAAAAAUGGGGAAAAAAGGCAGAAGUUAUUAAAAAUAUGCUUUUUUUUUCAGCUAUAUAACGAAAUAUUUUGAAAUGUAUGUAACUUUUUUAGCAUAUCUACAUGUGUUGCUUUACAAAAUAUCAAAGUGGCAAAGUUAGGACACCCUUGGCCUAAUUGUUCUUGUCUACUUAAAGAUCCAAAUCAUCUUUGUGUAGAUGUUACAUGAUUGGAUUGGUUUUGAAUCCACCUUUAGGCUCAUUUUGGGAGAUAUACCGUAGCUGCAGAUUGUAUUUAUUCUGAAAUUCAUACAUUUUCUUUAGACUCGCAUACCUUCUUCUACUUUUUCAUUCCGCUUAGUAUUUAUUUUCCUCAGGGUUGAAACUCUUGUGCAAUGUACUUCCCCUUUAGUGAGAACACACCCACACAACCGUACCGUAGCAACACUUUGCUGUUUCUUGGUAACAGCAUUUAUAUAACGUCUAAGGAAGCCAAGGUAGCGCAACCAUACUUAUAUAAAUACAUUUCAAAAAGUCUGCUGAGCAAAGUGAAAAGGUUUCAGCAGCUGAGUUUGUGUGUGUGUGUGUGUGUGUGUGUGUGUGUGUGUGUGAGCGGUACAAUUUCAAGUUGAACUUCAAGAUUGAACUCAAAACUCAAAACUGCUAUGUGAUAAUAUGGCUCUGCAAACACACUUCCUGCUUCCUCUAAAUCACAUGCCACGUCUUUUUCACCAUGUGCAGUUUAAGUUCAUUUUAGUUUGAUUGCACGCUUAGUAGUCUUAAUAAAGGCUUUUUUAAUGGCCACAUAAUAAACUCAUUCCUAUCCCAUUACAGUAAUCCCUUGUUUAUCACGGUUAAUUGGUUCCAGACCCCACCGUGAUAUAGGAUUCAUUCUUUAUAAAGACUAUUUUUUAAACCCAUUUAUGAUCUUCUAGAUAUGUUUUUUUUUUUAACAUUAGAGCCCUGUCAGCAUUAACACCCCAUAGUCACCUUUACACUCCUAUUACCCAAUACAGUAGACAUAAUUACAAAAUAAAACAUUUAAGACAAACUAUUUUACCACCUUCUAAAUACAUUUUUUAUUAGAGCCAUCUAGACAUGAAAUAACAGGGUUAGAAUUAGGUGUUGUGCGGUUAGGGUGUGCGUGCGUGCGUGCGUACGUGCGUAGUGAUCCCAUUUUCUACUGCUUAUGCUUUUCAAGUUAAAAUGUGUGUAUAUUAUUUUUUGUUUUUUUUAAACUUAAAUAAGAGUGGAACAAGAGUAACAA